GGUGGUUUUCAGGUGACACACCCCAGAAUUGGUCUCCCUCCUCUCUGGUUCCAGGUGCAUCACCCCAGAACCGCA
rfam:Myotis brandtii contig246773, whole genome shotgun sequence.